rnacentral:lncRNA from 10 species
AAAAACUGGCCAACUGCAAGCCAAGAAGAUUAUAGGACUGUGUAUGUCCUACACACACAUUAUAUGUCCUACACGCACAGUGAUGAGGAGUGACAAAAUGAAGACUCCAGAAUCCUCUUUAUCAGAUCCUGAAUGUGCACUUUCUGAAGUGAAGUCCACUAUGUGCUGGGCACACAGAGAAUAGAGCAUGAAACAAAAGCAACAUGACCCUGCCCUCACCAAGACUACAGGGAGUGAUGGAGCAUACAACUUUGUUUCAGAAUGCAAUUCAGAUCUUCCCUUUCGCUUGGCUUCUUAAAACUUCUUUUGAGGAUGGUAAAAUUUCGUGUU